rnacentral:rRNA from 1 species
AUUGAACGCUGGCGGCAUGCUUUACACAUGCAAGUCGAACGGUAACAGGCCUUCGGGUGCUGACGAGUGGCGAACGGGUGAGUAAUGCAUCGGAACGUGCCCAGAGGUGGGGGAUAACGCAGCGAAAGCUGUGCUAAUACCGCAUGUGAUCUGAGGAUGAAAGCGGGGGACCAGGCAGCAAUGUUUGGCCUCGCGCCUUUGGAGCGGCCGAUGUCAGAUUAGGUAGUUGGUGGGGUAAAGGCCUACCAAGCCGACGAUCUGUAGCUGGUCUGAGAGGACGACCAGCCACACUGGGACUGAGACACGGCCCAGACUCCUACGGGAGGCAGCAGUGGGGAAUUUUGGACAAUGGGCGCAAGCCUGAUCCAGCAAUGCCGCGUGCGGGAAGAAGGCCUUCGGGUUGUAAACCGCUUUUGUACGGAACGAAAAGGCUCUGGCUAAUACCUGGGGCUGAUGACGGUACCGGAAGAAUAAGCACCGGCUAACUACGU